rnacentral:lncRNA from 1 species
CUUCGGCCAUGGCCUUGACCUCAUCCACCUCGGCUCGAAGUUGGUCGAUCUGGUCAACCUUCUGCUGAACCUGCAGGUUUUGAUCGUUAGUCACCAUGUCUAACUCAUCAUCGCUAACUUCAAAGAUCUUUUCCUGUUCCACCAGGUCGGUAUGUUCCUUCUGAGAUGCAUCCAACUCAGCCCAGUGAUUCUUGACCGCUUCUUCGCAUUGCUCGCUGAGAAGCUUAUACAUGUCCCUCUUCUUAGCAAGCUCCUUGACCUCAGCCUCGAGCUGGUUAACCUCAGUUCGGUACCGGAGAAAGGCUUUAUGAUGGAGUAUCGAGGUCUGCAAAGAUAUGAAAAGGAAAGGGCAUGAGAGAUAUCAAAAACUAAAUUUGAAGACAAAAGAGUGUUAUGACACCUUACCCGGUUUAGCACCUGUUUUGCUUCGUUGAACAAGCAUGGUGCAUCCACCUCGUUAAUUUUCGCAUGAUCUUCUUCGAUUACCAGGCAAAGGAUGUAGCUAGCUACUCCGAUAGGGGCGGAAAGAACCCAGGCAUCCUUCGGGACGGUGAUGAUAACUGAUCGCUUCCGACCGGGAUCCAUGCUCGGGGCGGGGAACCAGUUGCUCAACUUUGGGAUCGAGUUCAGCUCACCGUCCUCCGAGGAUGAGCUUUUCCUCGGCACCCCUAAAUCACCCAACCCGGAGAAGUAUUCUAGAGCGAUUGAUUUCACACCAUCAAAAAAGCAACAGAGGGGAUCGUCCGCACCAUGAGCCCCUUCGUUGGAUCGAUGCUUCAUCACUCGGGCUUUAUCGAACAUGAACUCUGCAAAUGAAGGCGACCCCAAAAUUUCUAUAACACUAGGCGGGGUGGAGCCGGUAUCUGAACUAGUCCUCACUUCUGCACUAGCCUCCUGAACAAGAGUGGGAUUAUCCUCCAUUGUUUCUCCCUUGAUUGCCACUCGUCCUUCGGGGAUGGAUGACUCACAGGCCACAAAACGAUCGUCCUCCUUGGGCUCGUCCUUGAGCCGGUAAAGGAAGUUUGAGUCAGGAACUUGGGAGCUGGAACUGUCCUUUGGCUUACAGGCUAACCUUAUCUUUGGUUUCUUUUUCUCCUAGAUCGGAGAACUCGGAUCCCUCCUUCUUUUCUUCUCUCCUACUAUGGCCCCGGGCUGUCCCAAAGCAGAAGGAUCGACGGGCAGGUCUUCGCCCCCACUAAAGGCCUAAGCUCAAUGGUCUUAGGCAAGCCUGCAAAAAGAGAAGAGAAGGAAUGAGGACAUAGUGCUGAAAAAGGGAGCCCAGUGCUACUUAUUUGGGAAAAGAAAUCUUACCAUGGGAACGGGCCUCCCAGCGGCACUUCGAGAGCUCGCACCACGAGCGCUCGGCAUAAGGCAUCUGCAAACAAAUGCCUUCGAUCCACUGCUUGAGCUGAGAAAUGGCAUUUGGGACUCGAGCGAAGGUUGCACCACAACAAAUACCGAUGAGGAAAAGGGAGGUAAAAUGUAAAAUGGACAUCUAUAAGAAAAGUAAACUUACAUGAUACAUUCCACUUCUCGGGGAAUGGUCUAACUUCAGUAGGGAUCAGGUCGGCGGUCCUCACCCAGACAAAGUGUCCCUACCAACCCCGAUCCUGGUCCUCGACAAUGCUUGAAAAUGGGCUUUGUUGACCCGCCAUACGAGAUUUAUCAGUCCUCCCCCCUCCCCUCNNCCCCNCCGCCNCACGCGCUCGCACGCCGCNNNNNNNNNNNNNNNNNNNNNNNNNNNNNNNNNNNNNNNNNNNNNNNNNNNNNNNNNNNNNNNNNNNNNNNNNNNNNNNNNNNNNNNNNNNNNNNNNNNNNNNNNNNNNNNNNNNNNNNNNNNNNNNNNNNNNNNNNNNNNNNNNNNNNNNNNNNNNNNNNNNNNNNNNNNNNNNNNNNNNNNNNNNNNNNNNNNNNNNNNNNNNNNNNNNNNNNNNNNNNNNNNNNNNNNNNNNNNNNNNNNNNNNNNNNNNNNNNNNNNNNNNNNNNNNNNNNNNNNNNNNNNNNNNNNNNNNNNNNNNNNNNNNNNNNNNNNNNNNNNNNNNNNNNNNNNNNNNNNNNNNNNNNNNNNNNNNNNNNNNNNNNNNNNNNNNNNNNNNNNNNNNNNNNNNNNNNNNNNNNNNNNNNNNNNNNNNNNNNNNNNNNNNNNNNNNNNNNNNNNNNNNNNNNNNNNNNNNNNNNNNNNNNNNNNNNNNNNNNNNNNNNNNNNNNNNNNNNNNNNNNNNNNNNNNNNNNNNNNNNNNNNNNNNNNNNNNNNNNNNNNNNNNNNNNNNNNNNNNNNNNNNNNNNNNNNNNNNNNNNNNNNNNNNNNNNNNNNNNNNNNNNNNNNNNNNNNNNNNNNNNNNNNNNNNNNNNNNNNNNNNNNNNNNNNNNNNNNNCCCCCUCCCCCUCCCCCCCCCCCCCCGAAGAUUCGGGGAUUGUACAAGCGGAGUAAAUGAUCGAUGGUGAACAACCAGUAGUCGAUCUUGUUCACAAAGUAUCGGAGGAGGAUUACGAUCCUCCAUAGUGAUGGGUGAAUCUGACCGAGGCAUACAUCAUACCUUCUGUAGAAGUCGAGGAUAAUCGGGUCCACCGAGCCCAGCGUGAAGGGAUAAGUAUAGACACUUAAAUAUCCCUUCACAUGUGUAGUAAUGUCAUCAUCAGGCUCGGGAACUACUAUGUCCUUAUCCACCCAGCCACAUUCCUUUCGAACCACGGGAAUGACGACCUCGGUGAUAGAGCAGAUGUACAUGGACACCGCCUUGCCUCGGCCUUGCACCUAUGGCGGCUUUUCGACUUUAAAGUCAUCCAUGACCGAAACCCCCCCGGGGAUGAACAUUUUCAAGGGGGCACAACUGUCUGUUCAUCGGUAGCCGCGCCGGGAGCGAACCUCUCGAGGACAACCACAUCAGGGGCGGUCUCCUCGACCUCGGUGGUCGGAUGUGAGGAAGAAGAAGCACCUUUUUGAGGAAUAGUCUUGGAAGUAUUCGCCAUUGUUAUCUGGAAAAAAGGUUUGAAAGUGUGAAGGACGAUUAGGAGAUGAAAGGUAAAAACUUACUAAGAAAAUCAACCACGCUGGCUUGGGUAGAGGAUAAAGAAAAGAUUGUAAUUUGUUCAAAAAUCUUGAAAAACAAAGGUAAGAAUAUUGGAGUAUGAAGAAAGGUGGUGGUAUCUUGAAGAAUCGAAGGUAAAAGCUUGGUCAAGAGUAAAAAAUGAAUGAAGGAGGGAGUAUUUAUAUACGCUUUGCGCCGUUUCGCAUUCAGGGACGGCCUGCCGAUGGAUGACACGCGUUCGAAGUCAUUAUGAUGCGACUGACAGGACGUUUCUGUUUCUUUGUUGUUUCUGUCACAGCGUGUUGAAGAAGGAAUAGAAGAGCUCGUAUCGUUCCUCGAUGUUUCCGUAAACUUACUCUCCGAGAAAGGGGACUAUUUGUAUACGGGUAAAAUCGGGCCCAUGGGUUGCCCCGGUUUUCAAUAAGGUAAAUUGAGCGAGAGACGUGAUGAUAAGGAACCAGAAUCGAGGCAAGGGUCUCAUCGAGCUAGGGUCCGGGGGCACAACGCCCGCCCUCGGGAAUGUCGGGGCCAUGACCCCGGGAUCAAUCCAAAUCCCAAAAGACUUCAGAGAGCAUUAUCGGGCAACCGAGCACGAUUAACAGAAGGUCGUGAUAUCCGUGACCAGCCGGGUAUCACGGCGUGGAUCUCGGCACGUACCGGCGAAAAUCCGGUGAUUAGUUAAACGGAAGAUUUUUACCUUUUAUGGAAUUGUACCUAGGGUAGGACUCCCCUACUAUAUAAAGGGAGGGGGAGGGUCUGAUUAUUCAUUAAUAAUAUUGUAACACGCAUAUCAAUGCAAUAUACUAUUAUUUUCUCUGUUAUUCAAAGUUCUUAUUCUUGUUCAUCAGUGCUUGGUCAUUGUGAGUCCGGGAUCGAGGACGGAUAUUUCAUUAAGGCAGUUGUUAAGUCCGGAAUCACCCUCCUCAAGUGGUUAGAUAAUUUAUUACUUUCUUUAUCCGUUUAAUCUAACGCAAUUUAUUAUUUGUAUCGAAUUAAUCCACGUUUUCUUAAAACCACAAAUAAAUUUAAUUGUUAUCUGUUUUUUAGGGUAAACGAUUUUUAAAGAGAUAUCAAAGAAAUCUAUGUUUUAACUUUUAACUGCAAGAAAAAAAACAUUUUCCAGAAAUAAAAAAUAAAAAUACCAAAAAUCACUUUAUAAUAAGCAAAUGGCAAUUCUUUCCUUCGUCUUUUUCUUGAUAUUUGUCCAAUUAUUUAAUGUCAUCCAAUUUUUUCACAAGAAUCCUGCCAUAUAAAGUUUCUAAACAAUGGAUAAGAUUUGGUUAGUCAUUCUUUUUCCUAGAAUAGAUAUGCGAUGCUCAAACUUUUGAGUGUAAAUGCAUGCAUAUCCUUCCCUAAUUAAUGAAUGGUCUUUAAUUAGCUUGACCAUAUGGAUCAAGUCAAACUCGAAAUAUUCAUAAUUUCCCGUGAAUUAUGUUGGUUUUCACAAAUUUCCUCAAAAUCAGAAAAACCUCAAUUAAUAAAAGAUACGACCAAAAGAAAAAGUCUCUUAUAGUUUUGAACGGAAAUUAAUGGGAGAUCGAUCCUAUUUUUUUGGAACAUUAAUAGAAAAGAGAUUAAAAUUGUGUCCACAAAUUAUGCGAAAUAAAGUAACUGUAAAAAAAUGAAAUCGCACACUAUAAAAAGGCAUGAAUUUGGAGGAGAAUGACAUAAUUCCAGCAAAUAAACUUAACUGGAGAGUCCGAGGCAAAGACCUAUCCUUUGCUCCUAAGCUCUUUGUCUCUCCUCUCCCAUAUGUAGUCUAUGCUGGUAUCUAUUUAAAAAAAAUACAUAUCCGUAUAAAAAAGAACAAAAAUAGAGCAAAGACUCAAUCUACGUAUAUAAACCAGUUUUAUCGGAGGGUAUUAAAAAAAUAAAAUAAAAUAAAAAAUGUCGACAGCUCAGGUAAACAACUCCAAGAUCACAGUCUAUGUGGUAUCAUGUUGGAUCUUUGCUGCCUUUGGAGGGCUUAUGUUCGGUUACGAUAUUGGUAUUUCAGGUUUGUAUACUUUUCUUUUCUUAUUCAAUUACCUUUUACGGCUUUCUGUUGAUAAAAUAAUAACAUCAUUUUAUCAAAAUAUUUCAGAUUUGAUUUGUCAUAAUCUUUUCUUUGUUUGGUGAUUAAAUCAGGAGGAGUAUCUGGUAUGGAUGAUUUCUUGAUAAAAUUCUUCCCAAAUGUAUAUGAAAGAAAGCUACAUGCAAAGGAGAACAAUUACUGUAAAUAUGACGAUCAACUUCUCCAGCUAUUCACCUCAUCCUUGUACCUAUCAGCUUUGGUUUCUAGCUUUUUCGCUUCAAAAGCCUGUCAAUUGUUAGGUCGUAGACCCACCAUUUUCAUGGCCUCUGUUUUUUUCAUUGCCGGCGCCGUCAUUAGUGCUGCCUCUGAACACAGAUGGAUGCUCAUUGUUGGUCGUAUUUUGUUUGGCGUUGGUGUUGGCUUCGGAAAUGAGGUACCACAAUUACAAAUAACUUUCUUCUAUUGAAAUUGUAAAAGGACAAAAAACUAAUGGUUAUUAUUUUGGUUGUCGCAGACUGUUCCUUUAUUUUUAACAGAAGUAGCACCAAUCCAACUUAGAGGAGCUGUGAAUAUUCUCUUCCAACUGUUCGUAACAAUAGGAAUAUUCAUCGCGAAUCUGGUUAAUUAUGCAACAUCAACUAUGCAUCCAAAUGGUUGGAGGGUGUCACUAGGUCUUGCUGCUGUUCCAGCGUUGCUUCUUCUCAUUGGUUGCUUUGUCAUAACUGAUACCCCAGCAAGUCUGAUCGAACGUGGCAAAGAGGAUCAAGGAAAAGCAGCACUAAAGAAAAUCAGGGGAGUUGAAGAUGUUGAAGUUGAGUACAAAGAAAUAGUGGCUGCUUGUGAACAAGCCAAGCAAGUGAAACAUCCAUUCAGGAACCUCGUAAAAGCUGCAAGUGUUCCACCACUUGUGAUUGCCAUAUUUUUGCAGAUAUUCCAGCAAUUCACUGGAAUUAAUGCCAUUAUGUUCUAUGCUCCUGUUCUGUUCCAGACCAUGGGUUUCAAAUCCGACGGUGCACUUUUGUCCGCUGUCAUAACUGGGCUUGUUAAUGUUGGCGCUACCUUUGUUUCCAUCUAUGCUGUUGACAAGCUUGGAAGGAGAAAAUUGCUCCUUCAAGCUUGUUGCCAAAUGUUAAUUUCUCAGGUAUGAACAUGACCAAAAGGCUCUUAGAAAAUAUAGAACUAAAAUAGACAUACUAACAUAACUAAAACAUAAUCUCAAUUAAUUGGUAUCGAUAUAAUGCGUGCCUUAAGUGAGAACAUCCCAGCAAUAUAUUCCGUAUUGCAGGAUCCAUCAUAAAUUGACUUAAUUUUACAGCGCAUCACAACUUACAACAUAAGGGGAGCAACUGUUAAGUUGUCUUCUGUAACCUAUCGGUCAGGGGUUCUAGUCGUGGAAUCAGUCACUGAUAGUUGCAUCAGGGUAGGCUGCCUAUAUCACACCCCUUGGGGUGCGGCCCUGAUCCAUAGAUUUUAUGUGAACGCGAGAUACUUCGUGCACCGGAAUGCCCUUAGUCAACUUAUCACAAUCCUCCCAGUUUAUUCGCGUUUGAAACCGAUAAUGUAAGUUAACAGAGGCGGAGUUUCGGAUGAUUUCUAAUGAAGUAUUUUGGUUAAAUUUGCAGUUGGCAAUUGGAGGUAUUUUAUCAGUCAAUUUGAAGGAGACAGGAACAUUGGACAGGACAUUGGCAGCAAUAGUGGUGGUUCUUGUGUGCACAUAUGUCAUGUCAUUUGCCUGGUCAUGGGGACCUUUGGGCUGGUUGAUUCCAAGUGAGACAUUCCCAAUGGAAACAAGAACAGCUGGUUUCGCUUUUGCAGUUAGCACAAACAUGCUCUUCACCUCCUUAAUUGCUCAGGCAUUCUUGACCAUGCUCUGCAAAAUGCAGGCUUACAUUUUCUUCUUCUUCUCAGCCUGGAUUGUUGUGAUGGGAUUGUUCGUCAUAUUCCUUUUGCCAGAAACCAAAGGAGUCCCUAUUGAUUCUAUGGUGGAAGAUGUAUGGAAGAAGCAUCCUGUUUGGAAGAAACUCUUCAAGAAUGAAUGAUCAUUCAAAGGAUUGGCUUAAUAUCCCUCCUAUGUUUAAAUUGGUUUAUAGUCGUCUUUGAUUCAGUGAUAUAGUGCUAAACUUAUGGCAUUUAUUGCCUACAACCUAUCCUCCUAUCCUUUGUAAAUUUGUUUUCAAUUAUCCAUGUAUCGAGGUUUAGUGCUCCAAUCAAAGCAAUUGGAUGAAUUGUUGUGGUUCGUCCAGUGAGCUUUGAAAGAGUACUAGCUUCUAUCAUCUUUUCCUUUUAAUGAAUUCCAUGUCUUCAUUGUUUUGUUGUAAAAAUAUGAAAAUUUAUGAAAUCGAAAAAGAACAAUUCCUCUACUUCGACAUCCAGUUGAUUGUUUCGUUAUGUGAGCUGUAUGUCAUUGUUCGUUGCAAAUUAAAAGAUUGACAUCCAUGUUGUUGGUUUAAAAGUGAACCACAAGCCAUUCCUUAGAUGGUUUGCGGUUGUAAAUAAAGGAAAAGAAUAUAUAAGUAGUAGCUAAUUAACUGGAGUUGAUUAGAGAAUUAAAAUGAGUUAUAAUGAAGUUUCAACCAUGGGAAAGAGGAAGAAGAAGAUAUUUGAAGAUAAAUCUCAUUAUUAGGUAUGCAAAUAUUUAUCUUGAGAAUCCGGUGAUGCUUACAUUGGAACUAUUAUAAACAAACAUAACAUUUUAAUCCAAGGAUUGGAUGAGGGCAAAUUACUAAUUCCAGUUAAUAUGUUUGAUUCUUUUAAUUGUAUAUAAAUUAAAGAGAAUAUUUUUAAGACUUAUAUCCUAUCAAUUUUUUUUACGCAGAUCUUUAGGUGGAUAAAUAGUCUUAAUUCUCUCUCUUCUCUCUCCUCCAUGUGCAUGUUAGUGGUGAGUGCUAACAUACGCCAUCGCCGAAAUGCCUAGAAGGGGGAAUUGGAGGACAGCGAUCAAGGAGGCAAUAACGGAAUUGACGGAAUGAAUUACUGAGGACGGGAAUCUAGGGUUGGGAUCUGGAAAAGUGCGAUCAAUUACGAAAAUUCUGAGCAAAACACCAGGACCGGAGAAGACUAUCGGAGAAAUCAACACGCCAACAAAUCGGACGGUACUACAGAAAAAGAAUGUAAACGUAACACUGGAAGUGCUGCAACAGAUGGCAAGGACUAUACCUAGGUUGGAGGGGAAAAACCUGCAAACUACUGUUCGAUUGGAGAAUUUAACUUCUCCAAAUACUGGAACACAGCAGGGCAGGGCAAAUGAUAUGAUUCAAGGAAGUGAAGUGAUUGAAGCAAAAACUAAUGAAAAGGAGCCUAUCAUGGCGAAACAACAAAUAGAGAAGGCAAACAUUGGGAAGGAGAAUAAGAACUGGGCAAACCUGUUUGAAGGGAAUAGAAUGGCUGCUAAAGGUAUGAAUCUCACUUUUAUUGCUCCUCAAAUUCGCAAUGGUGUCAAAAUUGUGCAAUUGAAAAAGGAAGAGGUGGAUAAGGAGACAGAGAAAUGGCGUAAUGCUGUAAUAAUGUAUGUAAUUGGGAAAACACCUACAAUUGGGUUGUCGAACAAUUCAUUGCAUUACAGUGAAACUUCACAGCCAAACCUAAAGUUUACGUGCACAAUGAAGGCUACUUCAUUGUCAAGUUCACAUGCAAGGAAGACCAGAAUGAGGUCCUGUUCUCAGGGCCAUACACAAUCAAUAACAAACCUAUAAUAACCAAAGUUUAGACUCCGAAUUUCAAUUUUGAUGAGGAGGUAUUAAAAAUCAUACCCUUAUGGAUUAAACUUCCAAAUUUACCACUCAAUUGUUGGAGUAUGAACUCAUUAAGCAGAAUAGGGAGUAGACUAAGGAACCCUUUAUAUGAUGAUGAUUGUACAACAAAGGUCGAAAAGGUCUCAUAUACAAGGAUGCUUAUUGAGAUGGAUGUCACUCAACCAUUGCCAACAAAGGUGACUGUUGAAGAUCCUAAUGGAGAGAUAUUUGAACAGGAGAUAACAUACGAUUGGAGACCAUUGUAUUGUCCUACAUGCUUGCAAGUAGGGCAUUGCUGCCAACAAAAAGUCCAAACCACAAGGAAUCGGGAACAACAGCCACAAACUAUGAAGAAGCUUACGAAGCAGGUAUGUGUGAAAGCAGGGCAAAGCAAAACUGUAACACAGGUGCAAACUAAAAAUGACAAGGAAGUACCAGACAAUAAGGGGAAAGCCAAAGAAGGUGAGGAAGGUUGGACAGAAGUGCGUGGAAGAUCAGCUGUGAAGACAUUUAAAACAGGCGAACUAGAGAGUACAGAACAGCUGGUUAGCAUUAAUGGUUUCAAUUCACUUAGUGAAGAAGCAAAUCAACAGAGAAUGGAACCACAACAUGCACAGUAUAAAGAGGAGGAGGAAGUAGCAUAGGGGUGGAGGACAUGACUCAUUUUCCUUUUCUACCAAGAUGAAGAUAGUUACUUGGAAUGUUCAAGGGGUGAAUAAGUUGUAUAAACAAAAGGAGACAAAUGAGUUUAUUUGAGAGAAUAACAUUAGUAUUAUAGCAAUAAUAGAGCAUAGAACUCAAGAGAGUAAAGUUGCAAGUUUAUUUAAUAAAAUUGCACCUGGAUGGGACUGGAUCACUAAUGAAUCUCGUACACAAAGAGGGAGAAUAUGGAUGCUAUGGAACCCUAACCUUACAGUGAUAACUGAACUGAAUAUGCAUCCUCAAUUCAUACAUGUUCAAGUGAAAGGGAUAGCUGUGAACAUUGAAUAUCAAUUCACUGCAGUGUAUGACUUACAUAGUAUAAAGGACAGGCUGGUCUUGUGGCAACAACUGGAGCAAAUAGAGUCAUGGAAGCAAGGACCAUGAUUAAUAAUUAGGGACUCCAAUGCCAUAUUGAAUGUAGAAGACAGAGUACAUGGUAAAAAAGUGUAGGAUGCAGAAACAAGAGAUUUCAGAAAGUUUAUGGUAGAAGCUGAGAUGACAAAACUACAAACAAUUGGAAGAUCAUACACAUGGAGCAAUAAUCACACAUAUAGUAAGAUUGAUAGAUCCAUAGUCAACUCAAACUGGAUAACUACAAUGCCACUUCUAUCAGUGCAAGUUAUGGAUCCUAUCUUCUCAUAUCACUCUCCACUCUACAUUAAAUUGGGUAGGCCAAAAAAUAGAUGCAGGAAAGCAUUUAGAUUCAUGAACUGUAUAGCAGAACACCUUAAUUUCACCAAGGUAGUAGAAAACAGCUGGAGGCAAACUAAUAAUGCACACUAUAUGAAGGACAUCUGGGAGAAGCUAAAGCAUGUUAAGAAUGCCAUCAAAGAACUGAAUGUCAAAGAGUUUAAUGGGGUCACAAAAAGAAUCAAAGACAUCAGAGACAAGCUUAAAAAUGUACAGGAAGACGUGAGAACUCCAAACCACUCACAAGACUUAUUUAAGCAGAAAAGGAGCUGAGAAUACAACUUGAGAAAUGGUAUUUGAUAGAAGAAAGCAUAUACAAACAGAAAUUCAGGGUGCAAUGGCUAAAGUUAGGAGACUCCAAUUCAGCAUACUUCUUUGCAAGCAUGAAGAAUAGGAGAUCACAAAAUCAUAUCAAGGCUUUAGUGUCUACUGAAGACAGAAUUUUGCAAACAGAGAAGGGCAUAGAUGAGGAAAUACUCAAAUUCUACAAGUAGUUACUAGGAAAUGUAAAUACAACACUGCCAGUAAUACAGCCUAAUAUAAUGAACACAUGUUAUAUACUUAAUAAAAGGCAGCAACAAGCACUCAUUAGACCUUUUGACAAAGAAGAAGUAUAUAAGACACUACAGGGGAUAGAUGAAGCUAAAGCACCAGGGAUAGAUGGUUUCAACUCAUGCUUCUUCAAAAAAAGCCUGGACAACAGUUGGAGAGGAGGUGACCAAUACAGUGCUGAAGUUCUUUGAAACUCAAGACAUGUACAUGCCAAUAAACUGUACUGCUAUUACACUAGUUCCAAAAGUAAAGAACCCAUCUUAUGUGAAGGAAUUCAGACCAAUUUCCCGCUGCACUACAAUAUACAAAAUCAUAUAAAAAAUGCUAACCAACAGACUACAAGGGGUUAUGGAUGACAUGAUUGAUAAAGGACAUGCUGCUUUUGUACCUGGCAGGGUGAUCAAUGAUAAUAUUAUACUUAGCCAUGAGCUAAUAAAGUGGUAUGGGAGAAAAGAAACAUCACCUAGAUGCAUGAUCAAAAUUGACAUGCCAAAAGCCUAUGACUCACUAGAGUGGGUGUUCCUGGAGCAGGUGCUUAUUGGGUUGAAUUUCCUUGAGACAUUUGUGAAAUGGAUUAUGACCUGUGUACAAACAGUAUCCUACUCUAUUGUAGUUAAUGGUAAGGCAACUACUCCAUUUGCUGUAAAGAGAGGGAUGAGGCAAGGGGACCCCCUAUCUUCAUAUCUUUUUGUAAUAGAAAUGGAAUACCUUACCAGGCUGCUGAAGACUCUGAAGAGUAUGCAAAGCUAAACCUAGUGCAGUUGGGAUUUGCAGAUGACCUGCUCCUAUUCUGCAGGGGAGAUGUGAUAUCUGCAAAGCUACUGUAUGUUUGUUUUGACAGUUUUUCUAGGGCUUCUAGUUAGUAGCUAACCAGGAGAAAAGUUUUAUCUAUUUUGGAGGAGUUGCUCCUAACAUACAGCAUGGAAUCUUGCAAACUUUGGGCUUCCAAACUAGCACAUUGCCCUUUAGAUACUUAGGUGUACCUCUGAGCUCUAAGAGGCUAUCAGUUGGGCAAUGUCAACCACUAUUAGACAAGAUGACAGGAAGGAUCACUACCUGAAAAGUAAAACUAAUGUCUUAUGCAAGUAGGUUGCAUAUGAUUAAGAGUGUACUUACAACUAUACAAAAUUUCUGGUCUCAAAUAUUCAUAUUGCCUAAAAAGAUCAUUCAGGUGAUUGAAGCAAUUUGCAGAAGCUACCUCUGGACAGGAGCUGCAGAAUGUUCCAAAAAAGCUCUCAUUGCCUAAAAAAAGUUAUGCUUGCCUAAGGUUGUUGGUGGAUUGAACAUAACAAACAUUGGCUUAUGAAACAAAGCAGCUAUACUAAAGCACCACUGGAGUCUUGGGCAAAAAAGAUAGACUGUGGAUCAAAUGGGUCCACACAUAUUAUAUAAAGGGGAAUAUGAUGAAUGAAGUAAAACCAAAGCAGGCAUCCUGGGUUAUGCAAAAGAUCUUCAAUACAGGAAAAUAUUGAAGAGAUUGGGCUAACAGUAGAUGAGACUAUGAGCAGGGACAAGUUCUCCAUAAGGCAAAUGUAUAACAACAUACGAGGUGAUUAUUCCAGAGUUCAUUGGAGGAGGCUGAUAUGUAAUAAUCAAAGCAGUCCAAGGUGGUCCUUCAUUUUAUAUAUGGUUGUACAGAAUAGGCUAUAUACCAGAGAUAGGCUCAUCAAAUGGGGGAUGCAGAGUAGCCCGAUAUGUAUUUAAUGCGAGCAAGAACAGGAAACCACGCAACACUUAUUUUUCGAAUGCAACAUAGCAGUUGGAAUCUGGCAAAAACUACUCACCUGGCAAGGUGUCAGCAGAGCUGCAAUGGGAUGGUCUGAGGAGAUAACAUGGGCAAUAAAGAAUGCACGAGGGAAAUGUGGGAAAACUGAAAUAUAUAGAAUGACUUUAGCUGGGAGCAUUUACUAUAUCUGGCAGGAAAGGAACCUAAAACUAUUCCAGAACAAACGUAAAUCAGAGGAUGUGAUUGUAAAGAUGAUUAUACAAGAUAUACAUUGCAGAGGAAGCAAAGUACCAAGACUAGCAAAGCAGAUGGCAAGCCUAAACUUCUAUCCAUGAAGCAAUAAGGAGAAGGUCUAACCAGGUGCAAUAAGAUAAAUGAUACUCAGUAGUAAAGAUUUCUGAAGGUCAGAGUUAGUAGAAGAGACUAGAGAUGCAUGCUAAAGUUGGGACUGCAUGUCCAACUUUAGAAGGAUGACAUACUUGUACAUAGUAUUCAGAUAAAUAGAAAACUUAUUUACCAAAAAAAAGAAUUAUAUCCUAUCAUUGUACUUAAGAUGAAAUAAGAAAAGCCGAUAAGAUAAAAUUAUUAGGAACUUCUACAUUGUAUGUUCUUUUUAAGAAUUACUAUUAACAUAGAUUACACAACUUCUGGUAUACAGUGGGCGAAGCUAGGAUUUUCCUCAAGGAGAUUCAAACUUGAAGUAAAUAAAUAAAAAUUUGAUAAAGGGUGUUCAAUAUAUGUUAUGUACAUCUAAAACGUAAUAUUUUACUUAUAUAUACAGUGUAAUUUUUCGAUAAAGGGCGGUCAAUUGACCACCCUAACCAUAGUUGGCUUCGCCCCUGCUGGUAUAUUAAAAAGUAGUGCUACUAGUUUAAAUGGAGUAACAUUUAUAGCAUGUUUAAAUAUUUCCGAUCCAGAAUGUAAAUUGAGUGUAUGGAUAGUAACUGUAAUAAAGAAUUUCAACCUGGAUAGUUAUAAGGGUCACUUUUCCAUUUUUAUACUCCACUUAACAAAAUCUAUAGUUUACCUGAGAUAUUACACCCGAGCAUUAACCAAGAUCCAAACGACACAUGUCAAAAGAAAACUAAAGGCUGAGGACUUCACUGACUUGGUUAGAAUGCGUAUCAAAAUCACACCUUCUAAUUGGUCUGUAUCUGAAUAACCCUAUCCAAUAUCCUUAUCUCCACCACAUAUAUCCGAAUAACAAAAAAUGAACUCUCUUCUCUCAUUCUCAUUCUGCACAAAUACAUCUCCAUUUCCCUAACUUUCCUAAGCCAAUAAUUCUUCAAUGGCCAUGGCAACUCAAGCUUCUCUCUUCACUCCAGCUCUCUCUGCCCCAAAAUCCUCUUCCCCAUGGAAACAAUCCCUCGCUUCCUUCUCUCCUAAGCAACUCAAAUCCACUGUUUCCGCUCCCCGUCCCAUUAGAGCCAUGGCCGAAGAAGCCGCCGCCGCCGCCACAAAAGAAGCAGAGGCUCCAGUGGGCUUCACCCCACCACAAUUGGACCCAAAUACACCUUCCCCGAUCUUCGGUGGCAGCACCGGUGGGCUUCUUCGCAAGGCCCAAGUUGAGGAAUUCUACGUAAUCACUUGGGAAUCACCUAAAGAGCAGAUCUUUGAAAUGCCAACUGGUGGUGCUGCUAUUAUGAGGGAAGGUGCUAAUUUGUUGAAAUUGGCGAGGAAAGAGCAGUGUUUAGCAC